rnacentral:rRNA from 1 species
UUUUCGGUACCGUAAGGUGGUACCAGAAUAAAGGGCUGGGCAAGACCGGUGCCAGCCGCCGCGGUAAUACCGGCAGCCCAAGUGAUGGCCCGAUCUUAUUGGGCCUAAAGCGUCCGUAGCUGGCCGCGCAAGUCCAUCGGGAAAUCCACCUGCUCAACAGGUGGGCGCCCGGUAGAAACUGCGUGGCUUGGGACCGGAAGGCGCGACGGGUACGUCCGGGGUAGGAGUGAAAUCCCGUAAUCCUGGACGGACCGCCGAUGGCGAAAGCACGUCGCGAGGACGGAUCCGACAGUGAGGGACGAAAGCCAGGGUCUCGAACCGGAUUAGAUACCCGGGUAGUCCUGGCCGUAAACAAUGUCUGCUAGGUGUGGCUCCCACUACGAGUGGGUGCUGUGCCGUAGGGAAGCCGCUAAGCAGACCGCCUGGGAAGUACGUCCGCAAGGAUGAAACUUAAAGGAAUUGGCGGGGGAGCACUACAACCGGAGGAGCCUGCGGUUUAAUUGGACUCAACGCCGGACAUCUCACCAGCAUCGACUGUAAUAAUGACGACCAGGUUGAUGACCUUGUCCGAGUUUCAGAGAG